rnacentral:antisense_RNA from 1 species
CCGGCGGGAUCUGGAUGUGGCUCAUGCCGGCGGCGGCCGAAGGGAUAGACGGGUUGGGCCGCCGGCGGCCACUGUCUCCGCGCUCACUCACGCCGGCCUUUCGCUCCGCGCCCGCGAGGUCUCUUCGCGCGCGGCCCCGUCUCACGUCGCGCCGCUCUUUGGCCGGCUCUGCGUUUCCGGGCCGCGCAAUCCUACGCUACUACGGCCGACCUGGCACCGCCGCCGCUGUCACUGGGCAGCCGCCGCCGCCGCGGGGACCGACGGGCAGGCGAGCUGGACGGGCGGGGCAGGCGUCCUGGUUGUGACGCACGCGACCGCGGGCGUGCGCGUCCCCGCUCAGCACCGGCCCUCAGUACGCUUGCGCCACUAGAUGACACGCCCCUCGGGCUGUCGGGGGGUCGAGAUAGUGGAGGGUUCCUGAUGCCAGCUCACGGCGGGAAUCCAGGGAAUUAGGUAAUGAACGGUCUACCCAUGAAGGGGACCAAUUAGUGCCUCUCGCGUGGUCCUGAAGACCUUUAAAUUAUUCUUUCAGCUGAUGCGAAGAGCCUCUUUUUGGGCAGCACUUACUAAGCACCAGAGACACAGCGAGAAGCAGAAGCAUACGAGCACAUCAGUGUGAUUCUGCUGUGAUGAAGGGGAAGAGAGGGCUCACUUUCGGGGGUGACAUUCAAGCUGGCCCCAAGGCCCGAGCAGGACCUGCCCAGGGGAAGAUCUGGAGGAAAGCCAUCUGAACAUACAAGAGCAAAGGCCUGGUGGAGUCAGGACCACCUUGGCUGCCAGGUGGAAUGGUGGAAUAACUCAGGAGUCUGUCAGGUCUCUGAGAUGUCAAACGGGGAAGGCCUUGUAGGAAGUAGGCGUUUGAAUGAGAUCAUAAUUUGAGAGCCACAGACAGAAAAAUAAAUUUGAAAGAGUUCACUC